UACGAAGGGGGCUAGCGUUGCUCGGAAUUACUGGGCGUAAAGCGCACGUAGGCGGCUUUCUAAGUCGGGGGUGAAAUCCUGGAGCUCAACUCCAGAACUGCCUUCGAUACUGGAGAGCUCGAGUCCGGGAGAGGUGAGUGGAACUGCGAGUGUAGAGGUGAAAUUCGUAGAUAUUCGCAAGAACACCAGUGGCGAAGGCGGCUCACUGGCCCGGUACUGACGCUGAGGUGCGAAAGCGUGGGGAGCAAACAGGG
rnacentral:rRNA from 1 species